rnacentral:lncRNA from 1 species
UAUGAUGAAUUAUCCUUCUUUCUCUCCUCCUAGAAUAUCCAAUUGCCCGUUUCCAUUUUUGUUUUGGAGAGAUUUAUUAUUCAGGAUUUUUUUCACUGGAUAGCUUAUUAAACAUUUCCUGCUCUUUUUCUCAUCGUACAUAACACGCAUCUUGUUUCCUGGUAGUACCUAUCCAUCCGCUCUAACGGGGCCUCCCAGCGUGAGGAAACUGUGAGGAGUGCAGUUCUUACCCAGGCAGUUUACAGCCCUCCUUGGGAUCCAAUUAGAGAUGUUCAAAAUUUGGGAUAUUUAUUUGCUCACUGGAAUCAAAGCUGUAUCAGCCCCCAAGGAAGCGAUGCAUGGCUGCAGACAGAGGUUGGGACUGCGUGGGGAUGAAUAAUUUGGUUCAUCGGUUCCCUGGAAGCCUCUCAGAGGGUGGGAGGAGAACGUGAGUGCCCAGAGAGAAAUCAUUUGGAGAUUUGCUGCUCUUUCUGCCUCUUCAGUUUCUCAGUUUUGACCCAAAGACAUAAGGAACAGCAUUUCACACGUGAGGACUUCUUGCCUUGGGUGUUGUACGUGACCAUGCCUGUUCUUUCAGCUUCUCCCAUUUUUGGAUGAUCGAAUCUCUGCGCCUUCUGCAUCAGAAGAGGAGCACAUGUAGUUUGCUGAGAUUUUCUCAUUGAGGUGCUGCCGUUGGAAGCAGACGAUCGUCUAGGAAGGGAAGAAGUCGGGAUGCUGUGUAUUACCAGGUAUUUUUUGGUUCUCCUUAAACAUGAAUAAAUUUAUCCUAAACUUUGUCUUUCUCCCUUCC